ensembl:lncRNA
CAAUUUUCGUGCAUGUACGUGAAACACAGCUGGAGGGCUGUUGAUUUUUUUACGAUAGGUGGCGCUGUCGAGCCAUUUUGCCACACCCUCUUCUGAAACCUAUAUCAGACGUAAAUUUUCACCAGGUCUGACGCGUGUGCAAAGUUUCAGGACUUUUCGAGCAUGUUUAGGCCCUCAAAAAUGCGAUUCAUUUUGGAGAAGAAGAAGAAGAAGAAGAAGAAGAAGAAGAAGAAGAAGAAUAAUAAUAAUAAACGAAGCAGAUACAAGAGGGUCCUCACACCAUCGGUGCUCGGGCCCUAAUAAACGAAGCAAUUCCAAUAGGGUCCUCACACCAUCGGUGCUCGGGCCCUAAAUAUAGCUGCAAGCAGCGAUGGCGGGCUCAAGCCAUCAGCGCAAACGCCACCCCGGUGGCAUCAGGUAAACUGUGCCCAGCGGGCACAUGCAUUUACAGUAAUCCUCUGGCACUCAGGUUUUAAGGGAUACGGCAAUUAACGGGUUAAUCCGAAGCAUCAAGACUUUGAAAUCACAUACACAGAACAAUAUUCAUUAAGAAAGUGAAAUUAAAUGAUUAAUAAACUAUUUAUUCGAACCCUUGCUAUUUU